rnacentral:tRNA from 1 species
GUCCUCGGGGUGUGAGGGAGGCACGCGACUCUGCGAAGGUCGAGGGCCAGGUUCGACUCCUGGCGAGGGCA